UCAGUAACAGCUCUUUGUCGUUAAACCUCUAAAUCAUUUCUGUGUGGAAUCUGUCGGUUGCAUUUACUUAAAUGGCAAACACAAGAUAGACACAGGGGGCAAUAUCUUCUUAACUGCCACUAAAAGGCAAAUACAAAUUAUUUGGUAGCAGGUUCUUUUUUGUGUACAGACAAAUUCAAACAUGUCGGUGCAUAUGUGACAACGAAGACAAACAAAAGGGGACUCCGCUGCUGUAGAGCCAGUUGUUGUUGUCUGCUACUGUUGCUCGGGCAAUUGGCUGGUUAACAGCGGCAGCUCUGCGGGCCAAUCAGAGCGCAGCAGCAGAGAAGCUGUCUGCUAUUAGAGGCACGGCUCAGGAGUCCUUCAACACAGAGCAGAGAGAGGGGGCCGAGCGCUCUCGGCAGCCAUUUUCCUGAAACAGGACUCAAUGGCCUAUAUGGGUUUCCUUUGUUCCAAAAGGGAUCUUACACUUGAUUUCCUCAUCUCUCACGGACUAUGAUAAAACUAUGAUUCCUCCUUUUAAAGGAUUGAGAAGAAGGAAGAGAAUGUACUGGAUGUAAUACCCUGUGACAUCUUGAGCCUUUUUUCCUCUGCCUGGAAUCCAUCUUUGUCUUAACUAGGUCAUGGCACACCCAUAUAAUAGUAUUUAUAUUUCUUAAGUGAAAAGAAACCAAAUGUUGUAAAUAAACAGCUGUAUGACUUUUUAAGAUGUUAUAUUAGGGGAAAAACACAGUUGAAGUGUCAGUGUACUGGCUGAUGGUUGACACUGCAUUUAUGGCCUUGUAGGAUAAAGGUAGCAAUGAGUAAGUUCAACUCUUAUAACAAUUUAAACAGUUUUGUUAAUUUAAAAAUGUGAGGCAUGCAAUAACUGUUAGCUAUUAAAAUGUUUUUUUUUGUCAAUGUAUAUUUUGAGCUAUCAUCAUUUUGAUCACAGAAAUGUUAGCAUUUGUAAAUGACAACUUUAUUUAACAUGUUCACUGGCAUGCUGACAUAUAGAUAUACAGCCUACAGUACAGGUUAUAUAGGUUGUGUCACAGCUCCUCAGACUAAAGAAAGCAGGCCAUGGAUAACUAAUGGCCUUUUGCAUAAUAGUUUAUUGUGCUGCCAGCAAUAUUGACUGUUGCUUGAUAACUCAUUUGCUUUGAUUAAUGACUUUAAACACUUUCCUCUCACAACAGCAACGCUAAACACCCUGGUGACUUGUGAGUUGUACCCUUCCUGCAACUGUGGAGACAACGUCAAGCACGAUUAGGUUUGUGCUGUCCAUUUGCCAUUUAAGAACCAAAUGCGUCCAAAGUGUAAUCGUCGGCUUGACCUUGCUUCAAGGGCAUAUUUAAAUGUCGUAAGAAGCCCACUCACGUAGCUUUUUACAGUUUCUACAACGUUAAAAAAAAAAAGUUAAAAAAAAAAUAAUUGUCAAACUUAAGAGGAAACAGAUGGAGGGAAAACUCUUAUGGUGAAAAUAUUUACCUCAGCACUUUGGUGAAAUGCAGUUAACAGGCCUAAACGCAGGGGCAGGAGGAAUGUUUUCAGCUCCAUCUUCGGAUCCUCUAAUAAUGGCAUUAAUAAGGGGUGGGAUAGCGUGUCCUGAAAAGGAAGGAAUCCAUUAGCACGAAAGAUAGAGAGCUCUUUUGAAAACUUUUUGAUCAGUGGUAGGCAUUGCCUCUCAGCCAGCGAAUAUGCAUCUUCAAGCAUCAUCUGUGUGGGCAAUAUGCAAACCAUCUCCUCUCUCUCCUUGAAGACAGGAUUGCAGUCAAGUAUAACCUCUUCUAUUUCGACAUUUCUAACUGAGCUACAUGACAUAAAACCACAAGGAAAUGUUGUUUUGAAAAGGUAAUGAAUUUUGAGCUAUUUCACUUAAUAUACCAGUUUAUAUGUAUACAUGUAAGUGUUAUAAAUAUAGGACAGACAAUAUGAACAUUUAAUAAUUGUGGUUAAAACGUUAUCAGCAAACUAUAUUGACUUGUUAAAAAAUAUAAGUGUAACAUAUUUUAUGAUUGAUAUGUAAACUUACA